rnacentral:tRNA from 1 species
UUAAAGCAUUGGUCUUGUAAACCAAAGAAUAAAGUAUAAAACCUUUCUGAAGCU